rnacentral:lncRNA from 1 species
GGGGACGGUUCCUGCUCGCGUUGGGCGCACUAUGGCGCGCUGGGCUGCUGCUCCUCGGCCUGCUCCGCCCUCUGGUGGCCGCCCCUGGUGACCCAGCACCCCUUGAUCCCCCCAAACCAAAGCCAGAUCCAAACCCCAACUGACCUGGUUUCACUGGGGCUGACUUUGACUUAGCAGAUGCCUUUGGUGGUGGAGGAAACCGUGACCCAGCACCGCCUGAUCCCCCAAACCAAAGCCAGAUCCAAGCCCCAACCGACCUGGUUUCACUGAUAAGAGCCUCUAACCCUCCGGGUGGUCUCUAUGUCGUUUACCCGGCAGUGAUGUUCAUGUCAUCUGAGAAGAGGAGAUUUCAGGGGCUGACUUGGACUUCGCAGAUGCCUUUUAUGGUGGAGGAAAUCGCUUGAGAGCAGUGGCUCGAUCUCAGCUCACUGCAACCUCCACCACCCAGGAUCAAACGACUCCCCUGCCUCUGCCUCCCAAGCAGCUCAACUUCAGCACCUCAUUCUUUGUCUAAGCCAAGUUUAGCCGAAGAAAACACCUGCCGAGAAGAGGUCCCAAAGCAAAGAAACAAAAGCCCCGCAGAGUUCACCCAGAAGGAAAGCCUUCAUUGGAUCAGGCUAUAAGAGGACUCUCCCCUGAGAAAGAUACUUAUUUUGGCGCUGUGUUUAGAGAAAAGGGAAGAACGAUGGCUUUCCCGUAGAAACAUUUACUUAUUUCAUGAUUUGAAAAUGGACUUUUAUGUUUUAGGAAUUAUGUGGAUGGGAUGUUUUCUUGGGUGAUAGGAUUUGAAAUUGCAGAGGGGAGCAGGUGCCAUGUGCCAGCAAUGGCCGGCCAGUCUGCCUGCCUUCCUGCCUGCCUCCCUCCCUCCCUCCCUCCCUCCAUUUCUCCUUCCCCCCACCCCGUUUCUUCCUUCUUUCUCUCUGUGUUUCUUCUUUCUUUUCUUUUCUUCUUCCUCCCUCCCUCCCUCCCUCCCUUCCUUCCUCCCUCUCUCUCUCUCUCUUUCACUUUGUU